AUCACGGCUAGGAAAUUCGAAGCCGAAAGCCGCCACCCAUAGCGGUUGCCGUGGUGUUUUCUUUAUGGG
rnacentral:sRNA from 1 species